rnacentral:rRNA from 1 species
CCUACGGGUGGCUGCAGUGAGGAAUAUUGGUCAAUGGGCGCUAGCCUGAACCAGCCAAGUAGCGUGAAGGAUGACUGCCCUAUGGGUUGUAAACUUCUUUUAUAUGGGAAUAAAGUGCAGUAUGUAUACUGCUUUGCAUGUACCUUAUGAAUAAGGAUCGGCUAACUCCGUGCCAGCAGCCGCGGUAAUACGGAGGAUCCGAGCGUUAUCCGGAUUUAUGUGGUUUAAAGGGAGCGUAGGCGGGUUGUUAAGUCAGUUGUGAAAGUCUGCGGCUAAACCGUAGAAUUGCAGUUGAUACUGGCGUGCUUGAGUGCAGUAGCGGUAGGCGGAAUGCGUGGUGUAGCGGUGAAAUGCUUAGAUAUCACGAAGAACUCCGAUUGCGAAGGCAGCCUGCUGGACUGUAACUGACGCUGAUGCACGAAAGUGUGGGUAUCAAACAGGAUUAGAUACCCGAGUAGUC